GACUUAAAAAAUGUUUUUUCAUUAUAAGUGCUACUAAUAAUUAUUAUUGAAAUGAAACUGGACUUACAAGACUCUAGAAACAGGGUUGGUCAUUUCAUAAACCGGUCCAGAAACUGGGCCCCCUUCUAAACAUACCCAUGAAAUAUUAUUUAAAGUAGGUAUGUCUGAGCUUAUCUAGAACUGCUCACAAACUUCUUUUGUAUUUGGAGAAUAUAGAUGACUCCAAAUUCAAAGGAAGUCUUUAAGACUGUUAGCUGAAUAAAUCAGUGAAAGUUAUAUACUGACAAUAAAUAUCAGGAAGUUAAAUAUAUUCUAAAGAACUUGAAAUUUUACACUUAUUGAUGCAGGCACACAUAUAUAUAAUUUUUUUCCCCAAGAAUUCUACUAAGACAUCAAAAUCCAGUCAGGCACGUUAGGAUUUGCCAGGAUAAACCUACACUCAUCUUCUUUCUCCCCCUGACUAACAUUGAAUUUUGCCCAAAAUGAGUAAGCAAAUGGAAAGAUGACCUCAUUUUUCAGUCUGAACACAGCAGUGUUGGGGGAUAUUUCUCAAGGAUAUGACUUCAGUACUAGAUCUUAGUUCCAAAUGCAGGUUCAUUUGGCCAAUCUGUAGAGGACAGGAGGGUAGAGAGCAUCCUUCUGAGGACACCUAUUAAAAGAGGGGCUCUCUAGUAAGGCCAGCUCCCACAGCUAAGUCACAGGCACAGAAUAUAGCUUUCUGCUCUCUGGUCGAGGCAGCCAUAGCAUCCUUAUUGUUGUAACUCCCAGAUUGUGAUACUGUCACAAAACUGUUGCUAGGCAACAAAUGUGGUUACCAGGACUCAGCGAAUAGCUGAAGGGGAAAGCAAAGUGUUGCACCAUUGUAGAGUAACCAUAGCAAUGACCUACUAUUACAGACUAAAGAAUUAUCAUUAACAAUGUUAAAGUAUCAGACAGAGGCCCCGAAUCCAGAGACUUCCAGGCAGUGUCCCUCUGCAUAAUUGAGUGAUCUAGGAAGCGAUUUCAACCGUUUCAAAGCUAUUCACUCAUUAUUUCUAGGGGGACAGUCUUUGUUGCUGUCAUUUUUUUGUUUGUUUGUUUAAAAAGUGUUCCGUUUAUACAGCUAUUAGUAAAACGAUGUAAGCUAUCCCAAGGAGUCAAAAACAGGUUAACGGCCUCAUCUCUUCUGUCUACAUCAAUGUUAUUAUUAUUAUUAUUUUGGUCUGUCUCAAACUGAAGAUUUUAUUAAAAAAAAAAAAAAACAAAUUUACAUUAGCAUGAAACUGAAGCCCACAGAAAAGAAGCUGUAGUAAAAUAAAAGAGCUCCAUAAACUGACCACUUAACUUUCAUUUGGUGAGUUGCAUUCCUCCUGACAACAUAGGGGGGCCUAGAGGCUGUUUUACUAGUGACUGCCUUGAAACACUGAGGGGUUUUGUUUAGCUUCUGUAAAACUGUCCCCUAAGAUCUGUUAAAAAAAAAAAAGGAAAAGAAAAAACACGUAAGCUGCUGGGACACUAAACUCGGACGUGUUUGCUUCUCUCGGAAAGCAAAGAACCGUGAGUGCUCCGCGGUGGGUGCGGCCGCGGC
rnacentral:lncRNA from 1 species